rnacentral:misc_RNA from 1 species
GAUGAAGAACGCAGCGAAAUGCGAUAAGUAGUGUGAAUUGCAGAAUUCCGUGAAUCAUCGAAUCUUUGAAUGCACAUUGCGCCUUCUGGUAUUCCGGAAGGCAUGCCUGUUCGAGAGUCAUUAACAACCGUUUCGAUCCCUUUCUUUCAGAAAUUACAAAGAGGAAAAGGGUUUGGUUAUGGUGGAGGAGGGAAAGGGAGCGUUUAGCCUGUAAAAAAAGAGGCUGUGUUCCGCCUCCCCCCCAAAAUUGUACAGGCGGUCGUGUGCGCCCACGCAUCGAGGUGUUGUAAAAGCUGCCACGGCACUUUUCACCUGUGCAGUGCGAGAUUGGCCAGCCGGUUUAAAAACCCCUCCAAACAAUCAAAGGUUGACCUCGGAUCAGGUAGGGAUACCCGCUGAACUUAAGCAUAUCAAUAAGCGGAGGA